rnacentral:ncRNA from 2 species
ACAUCCCGUGCGGGAGAGUCCCCGCGUGCGUCCACCGUGACGCGUGGCGGGGCGCCGAAGGGGCAAACUCCCCGGAACCUCUCAGGCGCCAGGACUGCGCGGGACAG